GUCCACGGCCAUACCACCCUGAAUGUGCGAGAUCUCUUCUGAUCUUGGAAGCUCAGCAGUGUUGGGCCUUGUUAGUACUUGCAUGGAAGACUACCUGGGAAUACUGGGUGCUGUAGGCU
ensembl:rRNA 5S_rRNA 5S ribosomal RNA